rnacentral:rRNA from 1 species
GACGAACGCUGGCGGCGUGCUUAACACAUGCAAGUCGAACGGAAAGGCCCCUUUGGGGGUCCUCGAGUGGCGAACGGGUGAGUAACACGUGAGUAACCUGCCCUUGACUUCGGGAUAACUUCAGGAAACUGGGGCUAAUACCGGAUAGGAAUCCUUGCUGCAUGGGGGGGGUUGGAAAGCUUCUGCGGUUUUGGAUGGACUCGCGGCUUAUCAGCUUGUUGGUGGGGUGGUGGGUUACCAAGGCUUUGACGGGUAGCCGGCCUGAGGGGGCGACCGGCGACAUUGGGACUGAGGUACGGCCCAGACGCCGACGGGAGGCAGCAGGGGGGAAUAUUGCACAAGGGGCGGAGGCUGGAUGAAGAAGCGCCGCGGGCGGGAUGACGGCCUUGGGGUUGUAGAACGCUUUCAGCAGGGGCGAAGCUUGUGGUGACGGUACCUGCAGAAGAAGCACCGGCUAACUACGUG